AGUUCGGGGCGGCUCAAUGUGGGCUGAGUCAAACAUCAGGGCCGGGCUCAAUGUGGCGUCGAAGGUAUCAACAUCAACGAAAGCGAAUAUUAAUCGAACCUAACCUACAUGGAUAAAAAUUAUGACCAUGGAAUGCUCGGAUCUGGUCCCCUGGACCUUGGAGGACUUUUGGUGUGGAUGGUGUUCAGUACGUUCUGUACAUUGCAAUGGAAGCAGUGAUUUCACUGAGGAAAACAUGCAGCAAAUUAGGCAAUGGUGGUGCCUAGUUUUCCUGCAGAACUUUCUCAUGCUGUCUGAAUAAGAGAGGUCGAAAGAUCGUAAAAGGCGGCGAAAACAAAACACACUACAGGAUGAUGUAGAAGACGCCCAGUCUGUCCCUUUUUUUUCCUGGAGAGAAGUGGCCUCUUUGCUGCCCUUCUUGACACCAGGCCAUCCUCCAAAAGUCUUCGCCUCACUGUGCAUGCAGAUGCACUCACACCUGCCUGCUGCCAUUCCUGAGCAAGCUCUGUACUGGUGGUGCCCCGAUUCCGCAGCUGAAUCAACUUUAGGGACUUUGCAAUUCAUCUGAUCACUCUUCAUAACAUUCUGGUGUAUAUGCAAAUUGCCAUCAUUCAAACUGAGGCAGCAGACUGUGAAAAUUAAUAUUUGUGUCAUUCUCAACUUUUGGCCACGACUGUAUAUAUCUGCGCUCAAUGAAACAAUAUAAUUACAACGUAACAUUUAUCAGCACAAUUUUAACAGUACAUGACAUACAUAACAAGUCUGUUCACUGCAACAAUAUCAGUAGCUUGUCUUGUAGCAUGAAGCAAAACGCGUUACAACACAUCUGCUGGUACUUUAUAUAAUAUUUCCUACGAUCUGUGUGUGCCUUGUGCAAACGUGUGUUUGUAAUCAGUGUGUGACUGUCACCUCAGAUGGACAAAAAAAAGUGGGUGGGGUCAAAUGUGAGCGGAGUCAAAUUGAGCCCGGCCCCGAAUUGCACACUGCAGCCAGGGGUACUUUUUAAAUAUAUUUUUUGUAUUUUAAUAAUUUUUUUAAAACCUAAAAAGUUAGGUUUUGAAUUCGACCAUUUGUAUUUGUGAAUAUGAAAUUUACCUAGUAUUAUUAGCAGUUUAUUUAAAUAUACUACAUCUUUAUUUAUGUCAGAAUUUCUGAAAUAAAUAAUUAGAUCAAAACCAUUAAAUAGUACAACCAGUCCUAUUUUUUUGUAAAAAAAUUCUGUAUGUCAAUCCCAAAAAUUCUUCUGUAAAUACAGGCAAAAAACAAAUGCAUUGUGGUCUCCUCCAUUCCACAGAAUCACAUGUAUCGGCAAUAUUCAGCUUGAAUCUUUCCAAAACAUGUUUCACAGUAUAAAUUCUAUGUAACAUUUUAAAUGAAACUUCCUUUACCUUGUUAUUGAUACAAUAUUUGUUAGCAAUUUUCCAUGCUCCCCCCAAUGUAUAUCACCAUAGAUAUUUGACCAAAAUAAUCUUGCUGAGGGAAUUGUAGUAUCACAAACAAUAUUCCUAUUUUGUUUAUUACUACAUUUAUCUUUGAUGCUAAUAUUGCCAAUUAAUAUAUUUUCAUGUAAAUCUAUGUUACUUACCCCCCCCCGAUUGGAAUCGCAUCAAAAACAAUUACAUAUUUUUUCGGGGUGAUUGGAAUUUUAAGAUCAUCAAGAAAUUCCCCACAUGAGAGUAGAUAUCCAUCCUCAUUCAGUAACUGACCAACCAAAAUAAUUUUAUUCUCAAACCAGUUAUGAAAAAAAUAUAUACUUAUUUUUAAAUUGUAUAUCUUUGUUGUUCCAAAUAAAGAAUCUGUGAGGGGAAAUUGUGUUUAUACGCUAACAUCCAAGCUAAAAUUGCCUGCUUGUGGAAUUUAGCCAAUUUUACUGGGAUUUUAUCAACAUUAAAAUUACAUCGAAGCAAAAAAUUCUAAAACACCAACAGAGUCAAAUAAAUACUUAGGGAAGACAUUCCAAAUACUGUUCUGCU